AUUGAACGCUGGCGGCAGGCCUAACACAUGCAAGUCGAGCGAGCGGCGGACGGGUGAGUAAUGUAUGGGAAUCUGCCUGAUGGCGGGGGAUAACUACUGGAAACGGUAGCUAAUACCGCAUACCAUCAGAUGUACCCAUAUGGGAUUAGCUAGUAGGUAGGGUAACGGCUCACCUAGGCGACGAUCCCUAGCUGGUCUGAGAGGAUGAUCAGCCACCCUGGUACGGAGACACGGCCCAGACUCCUACGGGAGGCAGCAGUGGGGAAUAUUGCAAAAUGGGCGCAAGCCUGAUGCAGCCGUGGCGCGUGUAUGAAGAAGGCCUUCGGGUUGUAAAGUACUUUCAGGGGGGAGGCGUUACCGACAGAAGAAGCACCGGCUAACUCCGUGAGAGCAGCCGCGGUAAUAC
rnacentral:rRNA from 1 species